ACCAGACUCUCAGAGAAGCAGAAGACCGGCUGGGGACAGGCACAAGCCAAGUUACGCGAAGUGACUAACUCGUGACGGCCUCGGGCACUGGACGCCGGCCACGUCGCCUCCUCUUUCGGGUCCGACGCUCCUGCGCGCAGGCCGGCCCGGAGCGGCUCGGCCCUCGGCCCCGGACCACCGGCCGGCCUGACCCUCGCCUAACAGUGAAACAGAGCCCCGGCCUCAUGUUCCAGAUACUGUGUGGGCAGCUCCUGCUGUGUGGACCGGCUGAGCAGCUUCAUGAGGAAGCGCACAGACACCAAACUCAACCGACCGGGUUCCGAAUCCAGUUCCGCCAUUUAUUAUUCUGUGCGGGGAAAGUUACUUCACUUCUCUGUUUUAGUUUUUGUAUCUGCAAAAUGAAGGCAUGUAAUUACAGCCACCAUAAGUUUCCUAUGAGGAUUAAAGAAGUAUUUCAUCAGUA